UAUAUGUUAGAGGAAUGCUACAAGUUAUUCUUGUAGGCUGCAUUUAUUACAUUGUUUUCCCACUCUUCUUCCACAGAAUGACAAUUGUGCUGUGUAAAGAACUGUCAACUUUCUCUAAAGAGUUUACUACAUGCUUAACGGCUGCAGAGGUCAAAGAGAAAGCAGAUGUGCUUAAUCCCUUAAUCACUGGAGUGUUUUUGGAGGCUUCAAACAGUGCUUCAUAUAUCCAAGAUGCCUUCCAGCUCUUGCUGCCUGUACUUCAGAUCUCUCUUAUUGAGGCUAGAACGGAACUAUCACAGUAAUAAAAACCCUUCUAAUUAAGAACUUUUUGACCUUCCCACUUCAUAGUUUCCAUGCUGGAGAGUGAUGUAAUGGCUCUUAUUAAAGGGAAAAAGAUUAACUCUGAUCGCUGCUGCUGUAAGAACCAUGAUUAAAUGCAGCCUGGCAAUGACAGCUUCUACAGCACUGAGAGAUGUGAUUAGUAUAGUCCAGGUUGGUGGGCAGUGUGACAGACUUAAGUGCAGACUGCUUCUCUGUUUCCACGGACUGACUAUAUCUUCUCACUGAAAUCCCUCUGCUGUAUCUGUUAACAAGCCCUUUGUCUUCACAGUCCAGAGAGCUUCUCCCAGUGCUGGAGAGAAGAGUAGCAGCUGGCUAGUUAAAGAGUUAGCUAAAAUCAUGGUGUGAUUUUUAAGUCAGAGAGACAUAAUUAGGCUCCUGAUAGCUCUGCAUUGGUGUUGAACUGAAUAUUGGAUAGGAGGUGCAAGACAAGGCAAAUAUUUAUGAACCUUGCAGUUCCUAGGCUGGAAAGAAUAGAGCUGGAAGGAGAGGAUUCCUUAUCAAGCUCUUGCUGCUGCUGAGAAGCCCUGGUUGCCUGAAGAUGUCUGCUAAUGACUCAGGGAUGUGGGACUGGGACUGUCACUAGGGUUCUGUUCUCUUGCAGAGUGCUUGCUUCAGCAUGACCUGGGAAAAUGCUGAUCUGGCCCUAAGAAUAUGGGUAUUUUGCUUUAUAGCAAUAAAUGAACUGGCUAAAAGAGA